UCACGCGAUUCUGUUUUUUUUUUGUCAGACGCCUCUUCUCACCAGUGACGACGCUGCUCCGGUGAGUUAGCAAACGAACUCAGUUAGCUUAUUUUCCAACUGUCAAGAUGGAGGAGAAUUACUGUAUAAACAAAACAAAGGCUCAUAACUGAUGGAAGACCAACGCCGGAGCUUAAAGGUUUGCUUCAAACUACGGGACAGAAGACGACUCGCUCCUUUCAAACGGACCCGAAAAGACUCGCUGUGCUGCCACAAACCGACUGUACUGUGUGUGAUAUUUUUUAAAUGUAUAAAAUUAAGACCACAAAUGGUUUUCAGUUUUCUAAAAAAUAACUGAUGAAAACAACUUAGAUUUUUAAGUCAAGUAAAGUCAAAGUCUUGUGUUGAUUUGCAGUCCUGUGUUAACUUAAAGUACGAGUGCUGUGUUAACUAAAUAAGGCAGAAGUCCUGUGUUAACGGAAAGCAAAGUUUUUGUGUCCAUUGUAAUUGUGUUAGGUCCUGUGGUAAAUCCUGUGGUAUUUUUUAAAGUCAAAGUUUUGUUUUAGGUGAGUAAAGUUAGUUAAAGCCACUAUCAUUUAUCUUCUCACUUAUAAUUAAAGUAAUUGUGUUUGCCCAUAGUGAACAUAUAGAUUCUCGUUUUAGUUCUUUUAUUGUAAGUCUGACUCUGGAGAAGUCUGUGCCUCACCAGCCAUGAACCUCCCCGUACGCCACUGGUUAUGACACUGUUUCCUUGAUGCAACCAGCCAGAAUGUCUUUUAUGGGUGGUCAAGCUUUCCCCCCAUUACUGCUAAACAUUCCUCUAAAACUAUGUGAAACUUCCAGAAACCGUUUUUUGUUUGUUGUGGCUCAGGCACCUUUAUCUGUUUUUGUGGUUUCACCAGCAAAGGUGUCACGGUUGACUUGUGUCACCUGGGGCCCGUUUCAAGAAGGAGUUUUCUGAGUUUAAACUAAACUCUGAGUUGAUUUACUCUGAGUUUGCGAACCUGGAGUUUUCGGUUUCAGAACAGCUGAUGAGAGUUGGUUUAAGCAACUCCGAGUUGACUGACUCAGAGUUAAGCGCGUGCACCGUGACUAUACAAAGCCCUGAUCAAUGGAGUGAAGAUAUUACGAGUCACCAUGGCAACAGGACAACAAAAGACGUCAGGAAAUGGAUAUGAUACCUCAAGCAAAUAGCGACUACGAGUCUAUAAUCCGUAGAAAAAGCAACACGGCUGCAGAAUUAGCUUGGAAGAAAAUAGCUGCUCGAGUCAAUGCGUAAGUUUACAUUUUAAUCAUACAGUGUUCGAUGUAACUAAUUACUAAAUAAUUUUAGUAUUGUUGUUAUAUUUCACUCGUAAACUAAGAACUUUUAAAGUAAUUGUUCACUCAUCUAAGAAGUUUCUUCAGUAAUUGUAUAAAUACUGAUGUUUGUAUGAAUUAAAAGUGCAGUGUUAUGUCUAUCCAUUUUUAAAAUUCCUGUUGUGGUUGAUGUGGGAUUUGUAAAGUAAUGAUAAUUCAAUAAUCCAAUACGUUUUAUGGAGAGCAAUUAUUACAUUGAUCUAAUUAGGUUUUUAAAAGUUACCCAAAACACAUGUAAUGAUAUAAGAAUUUAAUUUCAGUUUUUAUGUAGGCGCAAUCCUGCAGGCAUAAAAGAACGUGGCUUAAAAUGAAAUAUAAAAACAUAAUUCAAACAGGUAAGGCACGAUCAUAUCAUGGGUGUAGACUACCUGACUUUACAACAUUUGACAUAUAAAAUAACUAAAUAGCAUGCAGAGUAUAGCAGUGCAGCAGCAUUUUCAACAUGGGUGUAAUGUUUUCACACAGUUAAAUCAUUUGACUUCUACUCGGCCAACAGAAAGUAGGCAGAGGCUAGAACAACUGGUGGAGGACCUGCACCUCCACCUCUGACGCAUGCAGAGGAGAUGGCACUCAGCCUGAACACUGGAAAGCAGAGGCUGAAGGAAUUCCUGGAGGGAGUUCAUCAGAACUAGUCACUCCCAAGGAUACAAGUGCAUUUGUAAAAUAGUGUGGAAGAACAGCAGGAGGAGGGUCCGUCACAUUCUGCUGCACAGAUGCACACAGUUCAGGGAUGUUCAGAGUUCAAUGCCAGAGUUCAAUUCUGUAAGAGUAAUGAGGAACUAUGUCUUGUAACUCUAAAUCUUCUGUAUUUUAAGUUACCGGUUAUUGAGUUGUAUAAACUAAAUCUCACGAAAAUGUUAUACUUGUACCAUCAGAUUGAAAAGAAAAGAAAGAAAGAAAAAAAUCUAGAAAUUGAAAUUCCCAAACACAAGCUGGAGAUGAGUGUAUAGGUAAAGGUGAAUUGUAUGAAUUAUUGGAAGAAUCAUAAAAUUUAACCAUGGCCUUUGUAUUUGUAGGAAAUGAAAAAAAAAAACAAAUAAAUUAUGAUUUGCA